rnacentral:rRNA from 1 species
UACGUAGGGUGCAAGCGUUAAUCGGAAUUACUGGGCGUAAAGCGUGCGCAGGCGGCUUUGCAAGACAGAUGUGAAAUCCCCGGGCUUAACCUGGGAACUGCAUUUGUGACUGCAAGGCUGGAGUGCGGCAGAGGGGGAUGGGAAUUCCGCGUGUAGCAGUGAAAUGCGUAGAUAUGCGGAGGAACACCGAUGGCGAAGGUCAUCCCCUGGGCCUGCACUGACGCUCAUGCACGAAAGCGUGGGGAGCAACAGG